GCCGCGUUGGCCUAAUUGGUAGGGCGUCUCUUUCCUAUUUAAGCUAUAGGAGAAGCUUGCGGGUUCGAGUCCCGUACGUGGUA
rfam:Sphaerobolus stellatus SS14 unplaced genomic scaffold SPHSTscaffold_71, whole genome shotgun sequence.